AUGGUCACAAUCCACAAGCUGCUGUUCACUAAGGCUCACAAGCUCUCCGGUCGCCAAAAAGUGAGCUCCCUCCACUGCUCCAGUCGUACUGAAUGACCAGCAUGAUCCACAUGAGCCCUGAUUUUUAACAUCGGUGACGGCUCCUUUUUCACGCCAGUCAAAAUCAGAUGGAAGAUCUUUAGUCGGGAGGAUUGGAGCUUUCUCGGCAUUAAGAUUAGGUCGGGGCUUGUUAAGUCCAAGGUAAGUCCGGCGAAACUCCGACGGAGUCAAAUCGGAGAACUGCGUAAUACCGUGCUCAGCGGAAGGGUCAAGGAGCUGGUGACGCUUCGCACGGCGAAGAUUAGCCUUGAAUACCUUCAAUCUAUGGUCAUGUUCCUCCUGAGAAGCAUAGAUCUUUCCAAACUUAGCCUUAAAAAGUGAAAAGUGAUGCUCGGCGUUUAACAUAUGGUUGUCAUCGUUUCCCGAUACAACUUGUCGGAUCAACGGAUCGUCGUCGGAGAAAGCAAUCGCCGACGAGAAAAGAGCGAAAGCGAGAAAAGAUAAGAGAAAAAGACGAUCCAUUAGAAGAGUGGAGAAGAAAA
rnacentral:misc_RNA from 1 species